rnacentral:lncRNA from 1 species
GGAAAUGUGAUCACAGAAGCCAGGUCAGAGUGAUGUGCCUGUUGGCUUCAAAGACGGAGGAAAGGGGCCAUGAGCCAAAGGAUGUGAGCAGCCUCUAGAAGCUGGACAAGGCAAAGAUUCUCUGCCAGAGACUCUGAAAGGAACAGAGCUCCGCCGACAUCUGCGUUAGCCCAGUGAGACUCUUUUUGGACAUCUGGACUAGAGAAUGCAUUCCAUUGGCACGGCGUUUAGAACCUGAGUCUCUGCAAACAUGAUUAAAGGAAAGGAGUUACUAGUUUUUCCUCUCUUCUGGCUGUUAUCUGGGAAGCUCUGAACUCAGAGGAGUUGCCGAGUGGGGGUGUCCUGCAUGAAAGAAGAUGGGAAGGAAAGAACUCCCCAUUUCACCUUCCUAAGCAGUGGAGGAAGGGGAUCAGAAACAGCAAGUGCUGAUGAAAACUCCACUUCCAAAUACAUUCCAUGGCUUAUUUGUGGAGGGAAAUGCUUUUUACCUUUUGAACUUUCAGAUACCUGGCAAAAGCAAAUGGGUCCUCAGGGGGACAGAGAGGUGUAAAUGGAAGCUCCUGUAAACGACUGUUGGCUUUCCCCCCAGGUUCUCUGGAUCCAGGAUUUCCAGGGAAUGUGUGAAAGGAUCUGGCCCUGCUCUUCGGGACAUCUGCUCAAAUUCCAGGCAGAAUGGACAGAGAGGCUCCUUUCCCGAAAGGUGACGUGGCAGCACUUUUUUUAAAAGACACCAAUCCUUGAUGGACACAGAGCUGCAUCCUCCGCUCAACCAGCAUUACAGUGCUCUCCCCUCAGAGGAAGGCUCCACCAGUUCGAAAUCACAUUGCGAUUCAUCCUGCUUCAAGGCUCGGUUGUGCAUCUGCCAUUGUUGUCAAAGGAACGUGACUUCCUCCUUGUAUUCCCAUUAGAGGAAUAAUGGAAGGCGUUCGGCUUCUUGGCCAUUUGCACUCCAGCUUUUCACAAGCUCUUAAGGGAAAUGAGAGCAAAUGAUGGAUGACAUAUUAAAGGAGACGGAUGAUGAGUCAAUGAGAACGUCAGCUAGGUUUUCAUACUCUACAGGGCAUGGUAAAUGCGGUGUUUGGUUUGCAUUUUUUUUAAAAGCACAUCCAUCUGGUGAGGUUCAGAAAUUGAUGCAUGAACCUCUAGGCACCAUGCUGAUGUUUUUGAGGUCAGGCUGAUGAAAUUGAAUGGGACUUCAGAUUUAGUGUUAAGAGCCAUGAGGGCCAAACUUACACUCUUUAAAUCUGUCACGUUUAGCAACUAUCAGCAGAAAAAUGAACUUUCAGUUGUCUCAUUGAGACAAUUAACUUGUUUUCACUGCCCCAGAAUACCUUCCUCCCUCCAAGCAGCCAAACAGUAUCUACUCUGCAGCCUUCUCUGCAAAACACGGCAGCCCAGAGCAAUCUUCCCUCUUCCACACGUCUAUUGUUUGAUUUCCACAGUACUAGAAAUUAACCUUCAAGCCUUGUUUUGAUUCUUAUAUUAUUUAGAUUGCUUGACACUUUUAACCAUUUAACUCUUUGUAUAUUCAUGUUUCGUCUCCUCCACCAAAUUGUGAGUUCUUCAAGGGACCUAACAAAAUCUACCCUACUAGUUCAAUAACUUAGUGUUAUCUGACAUUCAUGUGUUUUGUAUUUAUAUGUUUGUUUGUUUAUAAUCUUCCUCAGUGGAAUUUAAGCUUUAAGAAGGCAUUGACUUUGUCUUCCAUCUCUGUAUUUUCAGAAGCAUCAAGAACAGUGCUUGGCAUUAAUUAUAAUAGCCAAGAUAUGGAAACAUCCUAAAGAUCCAUACGACCGUCCACAGAGUGAAUAAAGAAGAUGUGGUAUGUGUAUACUGAAAUGCUACUCGGCUAUAAAAAAGAAUGGAGUGAUGCCAUUUCCAGCAACAUGGAUGAACCUAGGGAUUUUGUCAUAUUAAGUGAAGUCAGAAAGGUAAAUAUCAUAUGAUAGCAUUUGUAUGUGGAAUCUAAAAAAAGGAUAUAAAUGAACUUAUUUACAAAACAGAAACGGAUUCGCAGACAUAAAAAACAAACUUAUGGUUACCAAAGGGGGCCGGGGGGAGGGAUAAAUCAGGAGUUUGGGGGAUUAUCAGAUACACACUACUACAUAUAAAAUAGACCACAAAGUCUUCCUGCAGAGCACAGGGAACUAUAUUCAAUAUCCUAUAAUAACCAUAAUGAAAAAGAAAAAA